GUAAAGAUAUAUUUGAAAAUUGGUUAUGAAAUUUUUAUUCACAAUAAAUCGUGGCAAUGUGCUUUUCGUCGUCAAACAUGGUGUGCCUUCAUGGACGCAAGUAACAACACAUUGGUAUUGCCAUUUAAGAUUUUAACAAAAAGAAAUGAGAGGGAAUGCAAUCGUUUCGAGAAAAGUUUAGAACAUAUCCAUGUUCGCCCUUAAAGAUGGAGAAUAAGAAAUAUUUAGUAUUUUGUGAAAUACCAAUUGCUCGUUGAAAUAGUUUCAGCAAAUUUGAUAGAAUACAUUUACAGAUUUAUUUUAACAGCAGGACAAUUUCAGAAAAAUGAAGAGGGCUUAUAUUCUCCCAUAAGUUUGAAAUUGAUAACUAUUUCAUAUGACUUUUUAGCUUUCUAAGGAGAAUUGAAUUCCGGCGCAUUUGAGAUUGUAAAGAGACAGAGAAUAAGGUUGUUGUGACUAAGUCGGGAUUUUUGAAGUCAUUACCCAAAGUCUAUAUAAACAUAGAAAUUUUUUGUUGUACCAAUUCAGCUCUGAAGUGAAGAAGCAAGCAAGCAAACCUUCUUAUUAUGAUCUGUUCUGUGCAAAUACCUUUCUGGCAAAUUAAAGGAGAAGUGACUGAGCGACCACUUGUUAGAAUGUAAAUAUUGAAAACAUUUAUUCUCCUCCAAUAGGAUGGUUUAUGUAUUCAUAAGCGAUUUGAUCAGAUUUCAUUUAUGUUUAUAAAUCUUAACGCCGUUUCGUCAUUGCGGGCAAUACGACCUAUCCAAGGAAUGCUGAAAUCGCUCCAAGGCCAAGAGCAGGCCAUUAAAGAUACCGAUUGUAUGGUUUUAGCUCCCAUUUCCCAUUCAUAGGUUUUCAUUGAAUAGUUGAAAUCAAGAAAAGGCCGGAACUUGUUAUCAAUGAUUUUUAUGCAAUUUAAAGGAAGUAAGUAGGUCUUCCAAUCAUGCAUCACAUUGUGUUUACAUUAUUAGAUGCUGCUACUGAGUUGUGUAAUAAUUUCGUCUUUGUCCUGCAUGCAUGUUGUAUAUGUAAGUUCGAUACAUGUUUUAUACAAAAGUUCUGAAAAGUUUUGUAUAAUAAUUCCAUCCCUGUUCUGCAUACGUGUUCUAUAUGGAAGUUCAAUGUGAAGCUUUUGUAGAAAAGAUGUAAGACAUUGUAUUUCUACUGCAAUAUCAGAGGUAUCUCUUGGCUGCCUUAAGGCGUAAGCAGAAAUGGUCGACUUUUAGGAAGCCCGCAGGAUGUCUAGAACCUGGCUGUUCCUGUUCGCUUCUUCUUUUUUCUUUGUUCUUUGUCUUAUUUCUUUCUCUCUUCUCUCUUCUUCUUUUU